rnacentral:rRNA from 1 species
CUUGCUUCUCUUGAGAGCGGCGGACGGGUGAGUAAUGCCUAGGAAUCUGCCUGGUAGUGGGGGAUAACGUCCGGAAACGGACGCUAAUACCGCAUACGUCCUACGGGAGAAAGCAGGGGACCUUCGGGCCUUGCGCUAUCAGAUGAGCCUAGGUCGGAUUAGCUAGUUGGUGGGGUAAUGGCUCACCAAGGCGACGAUCCGUAACUGGUCUGAGAGGAUGAUCAGUCACACUGGAACUGAGACACGGUCCAGACUCCUACGGGAGGCAGCAGUGGGGAAUAUUGGACAAUGGGCGAAAGCCUGAUCCAGCCAUGCCGCGUGUGUGAAGAAGGUCUUCGGAUUGUAAAGCACUUUAAGUUGGGAGGAAGGGCAGUAAAUUAAUACUUUGCUGUUUUGACGUUACCGACAGAAUAAGCACCGGCUAACUCUGUGCCAGCAGCCGCGGUAAUACAGAGGGUGCAAGCGUUAAUCGGAAUUACUGGGCGUAAAGCGCGCGUAGGUGGUUCGUUAAGUUGGAUGUGAAAUCCCCGGGCUCAACCUGGGAACUGCAUUCAAAACUGACGAGCUAGAGUAUGGUAGAGGGUGGUGGAAUUUCCUGUGUAGCGGUGAAAUGCGUAGAUAUAGGAAGGAACACCAGUGGCGAAAGCGACCACCUGGACUGAUACUGACACUGAGGUGCGAAAGCGUGGGAGCAAACAGGAUUAGAUACCCUGGUAGUCCACGCCGUAAACGAUGUCAACUA